UCUCUUUGGAUGAAAAAAAGGUCCACAUGUACAGAAAUAUGUCUGCAUGAAACAUGCCGCGAAGAUCGCUGCAAAAUUCAAUACUUCGUACACACUACACAGCAUGCGACGUAUGCGACAGUGACGAUAGCGGCGGGAUCAUGCUGCGCUCGGAUCAAUACAAUAUUUAUUAUACGGCAGGCCGCCUGAGUAUGUGUGUAGCAUCGCGGAUGCAAGUUUCGCUCAGAAUACAUGGCAUAUUCUGUAAAGUGGAAACACCAGGAACAACCAUGAAAAUAGGAGAAAAUCCACUGCGACAGGUUAUCUUCGCUUCCAGUUGGCUGCCUCCUGUUAUUCGGGCAGAGAAAAAAAAACACGACUUCGUUAGGUAUGUUUCAGUACUGAACGUGAAAAUGGGGGCUGAAACAAUUGACUCAAGGGGGAAUAAAUUAGGAAUGCCAAGGGUACUGUUUUGUAACAUACCGUAUCGUAUUCUUACUAGUUAUUUACUUACUUUACAUAGUUACAGAAAACAAAAGGAGGAUUUCAAUUUCUCCCGACCCGGGCCGGAGUUGACAAUUUGAUGGAUGGGGGAACUCGCUUACAAAGCUUCUCUAGACAUCAAUAGUUAGGUUAGUUAGGUUAGUUAACUAACUACGUAUAUGGAGUUGACCAAUACUCCUUGACAUCUUCUCCAACCAGUUAAUCCUUGCUUAUCUCCAUAAACUAUGUUUUAUACUUUCAGGAAAAAAAGAAAGGAAAGAAAGCAAGUAUUUGCGAUAGCUUAAAGUUCCUUCUUGAAUCAACUAGCAGUUUGAAGGGUCAACAAAAAGAGACAACUCUAAUUCGCUCGGCACCGUAAAUCGUCGUCCACGGUCCAAGACUUUAAAUUUAAAAUCAUCUUUUGAGUUUUUUUUUUUUUUUUUUUUUUUUUUUUUUUUUUUUUUUUUUGCUGCUGACUUGGUAUGUCGGUAUGGGGCCGCUUGCUCUGUCAAAUUUUGUUUUAUUGGUGACUCUUUUCUUUUUGUCAUUUUUGCAAUUAAAAGCGACUCUUUUUACUCGGAAAGGAAGUUUAUCAAAAAUAGCGCGUGGUGGGAUGACAGCCCAAAAAAAAAAACACAAAAUAAGAAUAUGGAGAACUCUUGCGGAGUUUCGUCCAACAAAAGUCAAAUUGACGGGGAAGGGUUUGAUGUAGUAGUACAUACUACAUAGUUAGUACUCUGGAUAUUUGGUUGAGCAAAUCAGCAUGCAGUAAAGGUAGAGGCCAUCUAGCACGUGCUCCGAACCUCGAUACGAGAUUGAUUGGGACGUUCCAGAGAAUUUGAAUUGUUUGCUACUGAUGUUUAUAGUGGAAUAUGCCCCAAGGUUCACCUGUUAGGGUAAGGGUUGGGGUUAAUAUGGAUUUGAGUUAAAUUGACAAAUAACGUUGCGCUGUUCUUUGGGAUCCAAAGGUUGAGCUUUCUUUUGGGGGCACAAUUGAUGGCAUCGAUACAACUUCGUGGCUCAACCUUAAAGACAAUUCAUAUUGCACGUUAUAUUUGUAAUGUUGUAUGCAUGGUCACGAUACAGCCCCCUUCACAUUUCACCUACAUGAUACAACCAACACCUUGCGUGCAUUCUUGCAUUCUUCUAGAAGCCGCCAAGUCUUCAGACCACGCGAGCAAUCUUGUCUAACAUCCCGCGAUGGGCCAGGGUAUGAUUGACAAGGGGCGGAUGUAGGACGGUCUUUUCAAUAUCAAAGAAUAUAUUUAUCUGCAUCUGAUUGAUUGGCGUGGUCGAUUUUCACUUUAUUGAUGAUGGGGGCCAAAAGGGCGCAUUAGUUUUGCACCCUGCAAAUGUAUCCUGUAGGGCUAUUGGUAGGGUGAAAUGCCAGAUGUGUAGAGUCUACAGGUGUCAUUGGAUGGCGUAAAUGAUCCGUCAUACUUUUGUUCAUCCUUCCAGUAGUUAAAAAACGGCUGAUUUAACUUUGGAGUAUCUGACCCAGGGAUGGAACAUGACGAAGACACCUUACAGAUCCGCCCUCCUAUUCGAUUCUGUACUAAGGCAAGGAUGUGUGUGCGUGUGUGUUGUCAACUCUUUCUUGCCGCAAAAGAAAACGAUUGGUUAGUAGCCUGAUAUUGAGGGAGGGGAGGGGUGUCUUGGACCCUUGCAGACAAACCCAGUCAAGUCACCAAGCAGACAGCCAAGAAUGAGCUUUCUCUCUGAUUCAUCAGGGAGAUUCGCCCAGACUGUGCCAGACAUGAUAGAUAGACCUUGGGGGGGAGGGAUGGGCUGCACGUGCACUAUAAUUUUCAAGACAUGACAUUCCUGACACUGACAGUUUGGAUAUCGAAUACCUCAGUGGACCCUGCAAGUCUUGGACUUGCAGCACAGCGCGUACUCCAUGCCGCCUCAAGACAAACAUGCCAAGCACUCGAGUCAAGCCAGUCAAGAUUUAGGAUCCAUAUCCAUUACAUGACUAAACUAGUAACUUACAGCCCUGCCGAUCCCAAACAACAAGCGCAGGGGAGCCCACAUCGCCAAGUCGUCACGUUAUGCCCCAGAGCGCACCAUAGCUCCCGUUUUGGCUCUUGUACGGAGUAGUCUCGACAUUGUUAAAGUUGCAACCCACUUUCCCUUUUGGAUCGGCAGCCGUAUUCCACAGAAUCCACACAUGAUCUCAACACUUUAUGAAGAACGUUGUUGCGAAGCGGAUAUGGGUUGGUUCUAGUCUUUUUGGACAUUGCCAAUCAUGCAAAUAGUUUCAAGAAAUUACCGUGCAUUGUACAGUAGAUACGGGGCUGGCUUUGAUUUGAUCCCCAUGUCUUCAUACAGUACGUACGGAGUACACCGUACUCCGUACAGGGGAUACAGAUGUUACACAGUAUUAGCUGUAACAAAACGAGACGAACCGACAGGUCUGUGCACCCUGCUUCUCCCAGGGUUUCUAGAAUAUUUCCUUUUUCUGCAGUACCCUCCCCCCCUUCUGAUAUUCUUGACCCGCGAAUGAUCGGCUGCCAAACACCGGAUAGGUUAUUUGUCAGAGACUCAGAGGUGCGCUUCCGACGCUUAAUAAUGGACAUUGUUAUUAAUUUGAGCUCGGGUUUUGACUAGCCGACGAGGCGACUGUUAGAAACUUAGAAUAGGCCGUCUACUAGUUAUAUACGUACGUACUCGUAGUAGUAUCUAGUCAACUUAACUUUGUUAGCCAAGCCCGUUAGCCCAACAAAGAUAAAUUUAAACAUGGGCUGUGCGAAAAUAGAUUCAAAACUCAAAUCUCCACAUGAGACAGACAAUUCCAACCAACAGAUCAACCAACCAACGCGCCUUUUUUUUUUUGUAUGGCGGUCUUGAUGUCACUACCAACGAGCCUGACUCAUACAGCCCAGUUAAGGUGACUUGGCACGAGUUGGCAGUAGGGUCUUAGUGUCUAGUAUCUACGACGCUUGUCGCUCUGUAUUUUCAGUGUGAUUAUUGACUAGCUGCUACAUAUAUAGUAUGCAAUGCGAUGAGUAUCUUCGUACCGAAUUGCAAUUGGUGUUUUGGUUUGGAGAUUGUCGAUCAUUUAGAUAACUAGUUAGUUAACUUAGAUAGGUAGGUAGGCAGAUGACUAAACAUGAAUCAUACUCGGUGAUUCCUGCGUAGUUCCUUAUUCGGUGGGGACGGGAUUGGUGGGUGGUGGUAGCACAACCAACUGAUGGGUUACCCAAACAAGUAACGAUGUAGAUCUAUCCUUCCGGUUAUCAUGGGUUCCUACAUUCCCCCGGCCCCACUGUAUUCGAACUGGAGAGCAGAUAAGUUGAACCAUUGGUGUGGCAUGGAAUCAGAAACAUGUCUCGAAAAGCAGAAGAAGAAGAAAAGAAUCGUUGCACAGUCAAAAGUCACACGGUUACACCGCUGCACAACAGGGAUUAGAGAAUUCUCCAGCCCACCUUCUAGAAAAAUGAGUCAAAUGUUUCGUAUGCAUGUACUAUCAGACUAUCAGGUGAUAGCACCCCAGGAUAAUGCAUACUCCCCGAAAAGAAAUCGAAAUGAAAAGUGUUGAUUGGCGACCGGACUUAAGAAGGGAUAGUUAUUGAGGGAAGGAAAGAAAAGUACGAGCCACCCAAUCACGAAUCGAACAUUUUGCAGAUCGUUCUGCAGGUGAAAAGACUUGCGUGCGUACGUACACAGGGCAUGGAUAUGUAAACCACGUACAGAGUGACUAUGUUAUCAGAUUCGCUAGUCUAUAGGAAUGGGUGGUGGUUCUGCAUGAUCGUGUAUAUUGAGUGGUUAAUGGUAGUCAAUGACUGGAUAAGGGGGUUGGUUCUUGGACUCAUUAUUGAGAACGACUACUACCUUCUCCAAAAAAAAAAGAUAAUUGUAAUGCGCUGUCAAGUCCGGAUGUCGCCACCAGUCAUGUAUACACCCCGUAGUCGAAUUUCAUGGAGUACAUUAGCACACGCGGCCAGUCCGGAGUACUCCAUGCCGGAACAGAUCCCCUACGUAGUAUGUUGUCAGCCGGGUGCUUGUCGCCGUAAAUACACACAUCAAGAGAAUGCUUAUCUGUACGAUUUGGGGCCAAAAUGCAGGUGUCAUGCAGAGCAUGAUAGAUUUGUAUGUGUGGGUGUUUAGUGUGUACCUUGCUUUGAUGAGCAAUCAACGAGGGAUUUAUGUGGUUAUCCCGAUCUCCAACGUAGGACAAAACCCUGAGCGAAACAUGGGAUACAUGUCGGGGUCCAGUUUCAGAAGGAUUUGCUUCUUUUGCAUGUCUAUGAGUAUGAUUUUUUCCGUAUACACGUAUCAUACCUUAAUCCCGAGCCUUGGCUUGACUGGCUGGGAAUUUGGUCCCGGGCACUGGCAGGAGCCAAGCCAAGCCACACCCAGUGUACUCCGUAAUGUAUACAGAGUACUGUGUAUGGUAGAUUUUGCGAUUUAUGAGAUGCAAUGGUCUGAUAUAUUCUAAAGAUAGAAUAUCCAACCCAACAAUUAGACCAACCCUUGAUCAAAGCCGCUGGUCCUGUGAAUCAUUGCGCUUGUAUCAGAUAGAGUGGCUUAGAUUUCAUGCGGAGUUGGCCAUACGAGCACAAAAAUAUAACCAAAAUAGACAAAAAUAGAACAAAUACACUUUGCCAAGAACGCAACAAACAAACUUAAUACGACAAGUGCCACAAGUGGUAUUUAUACAUACAAGACUGGCUAAUUUAGUGUCAAU
rnacentral:lncRNA from 1 species